rnacentral:rRNA from 1 species
UAAAGCUUCCAACUGGGAUUAGAUACCCCACUAUUCUUGACUGUAAAUUUAAUUAAAUUUACCAGAGUACUAUGAAUAUUACAAAAAUUUAAAACUCAAAGAGCUUGGCGGUGUUUUAGACCCAUUAGGGGAACCUGUUUCGUAAUCGACAAUCCGCGUUAAACCUAACCCUAUUUUGUAUUCAGUUUGUAUACCGUCGUCGUCAGGUAACUUUUAAAAAAUUAGAAGUUAGCAACAAGAAUUCUAUAAACUAAAACGUCAGAUCAAGGUGCAGCUAAUAAAAGGGAGAGAAUGGGUUACAAUUAUUUUAUUUGUAAUUACGGAAAGCUACAGGAAGUAUAGCUGGAAGGAGGACUUAAAAGUAAAAUAAAAUAUAUAAACAAUUUGAAUAUGGCUCUGAAACGUGCACACACCGCCCGUCACCCUCCUGCAGUCAA